CGCGGCCUAUCAGCUUGUUGGUGGGGUGAUGGCCUACCAAGGCGACGACGGGUAGCCGGCCUGAGAGGGCGACCGGCCACACUGGGACUGAGACACGGCCCAGACUCCUACGGGAGGCAGCAGUGGGGAAUAUUGCACAAUGGGCGCAAGCCUGAUGCAGCGACGCCGCGUGCGGGAUGACGGCCUUCGGGUUGUAAACCGCUUUCAGCAGGGAAGAAGCGCAAGUGACGGUACCUGCAGAAGAAGCGCCGGCUAACUACGUGCCAGCAGCCGCGGUAAUACGUAGGGCGCAAGCGUUGUCCGGAAUUAUUGGGCGUAAAGAGCUCGUAGGCGGUUUGUCGCGUCUGCUGUGAAAUCCUCAGGCUCAACCUGGGGCUUGCAGUGGGUACGGGCAGACUAGAGUGCGGUAGGGGUGACUGGAAUUCCUGGUGUAGCGGUGGAAUGCGCAGAUAUCAGGAGGAACACCGAUGGCGAAGGCAGGUCACUGGGCCGCAACUGACGCUGAGGAGCGAAAGCAUGGGGAGCGAACAGGAUUAGAUACCCUGGUAGUCCAUGCCGUAAACGUUGGGCACUAGGUGUGGGGUCCAUUCCACGGAUUCCGUGCCGCAGCAAACGCAUUAAGUGCCCCGCCUGGGGAGUACGG
rnacentral:rRNA from 1 species